rnacentral:rRNA from 1 species
CCUACGGGUGGCAGCAGUGAGGAAUAUUGGUCAAUGGACGAGAGUCUGAACCAGCCAAGUAGCGUGAAGGAUGACUGCCCUAUGGGUUGUAAACUUCUUUUAUAAAGGAAUAAAACGAGGCACGUGUGCCUUUUUGCAUGUACUUUAUGAAUAAGGAUCGGCUAACUCCGUGCCAGCAGUCGCGGUAAUACGGAGGAUCCGAGCGUUAUCCGGAUUUAUUGGGUUUAAAGGGAGCGUAGAUGGGUUGUUAAGUCAGUUGUGAAAGUUUGCGGCUCAACCGUAAAAUUGCAAUUGAUACUGGCAGUCGUGAGUACAGUUGAGGUAGGCGGAAUUCGUGGUGUAGCGGUGAAAUGCUUAGAUAUCACGAAGAACCCCGAUUGCGAAGGCAGCUUACUAAACUGUGACUGACAUUGAUGCUCGAAAGUGUGGGUAUCAAACAGGAUUAGAGACCCCAGUAGUC